GAAAUGCGAUAAAUAAUGUGAAUUGCAGAAUUCCGUGAAUCAUUGAAUCUUUGAACGCACAUUGCGCCCUCUGGUAUUCCGGGGGGCAUGCCUGUCCGAGCGUCAUUGCGAACCCCUCAAGCACGGCUUGUGUGAUGGGCCCUCCCGCGUCUUGGUCGUCAAGACGGGCCCGAAAUGCAGUGGCGGCUUCGCGGUUAUCCGAUCAGCCAGAGCGUAUGGGGACUUUCUCUCUGUCACACGCCCGCGGCGCGGACCGACGCCUGUCGACCUUCAUUCAUCGUUUUCUCGGUUGACCUCGGAUCAGGUAGGGAUACCCGCUGAACUUAAGC
rnacentral:misc_RNA from 1 species